GAUGAACGCUGGCGGCGUGCCUAACACAUGCAAGUCGAACGAAGCACCUUACCUGAUUCUUCGGAUGAAAGUUUGGUGACUGAGUGGCGGACGGGUGAGUAACGCGUGGGUAACCUGCCCUGUACAGGGGGAUAACAGCUGGAAACGGCUGCUAAUACCGCAUAAGCGCACGAGGAGACAUCUCCUUGUGUGAAAAACUCCGGUGGUACAGGAUGGGCCCGCGUCUGAUUAGCUGGUUGGCAGGGUAACGGCCUACCAAGGCAACGAUCAGUAGCCGGUCUGAGAGGAUGGACGGCGACAUUGGAACUGGGACACAGUCCAGACUCCUAGGGGAGGCAGCAGUGGGGAAUAUUGCAAAAUGGGGGAAACCAUGAUGCAGCAACGCCGCGUGAGUGAAGAAGUAUUUCGGUAUGUAAAGCUCUAUCAGAAGGGAAGAUAAUGACGGUACCUGACUAAGAAGCUCCGGCUAAAUACGUG
rnacentral:rRNA from 1 species